CUUACUUACUUACUUACUUACUUACUUAUUUUUGUCAUACUUAAACAAUCAUUCGUCCUUGAAUUCCUCCUGUAUGCCAGGUAGACUUAGUCAGUCAGUCAGUCAGUCAGUCAUUUAGCCAGGUCAAAAUAGUUAAACAUAAAUAUCAAUAAAAUCAAUAAAAAUCAAAUGCAAACCCAAUAGACAGUAAGUAAAAUCGAAUAAACCAAAAGAUACAUCAUAAGCACAGAGUUUCAGCCGGACAUUGAAAAGCAGCAGUUACCGAAGCAGUCUCCCUCCCACACCAACACACACACAGCUCGA
rnacentral:sRNA from 1 species